CAUUACCUAAUCAAAUUUAAAAAAAAGUUUUCUGCUUGUUGUUUUCAGCCUGGAUUUCCAUUUGCUGAAAAAGCUAUAUUUUCUAAGGGAACUCUUGGGCAACCUCAGACUCAGAGAUUUCACAAAUGUAGUGUCCUCAGCAGAAGCUCUUCCUCCCCGCUUAGAACUCUGCAUUUCUGCUCCCUCUACUUCCCCUAUAUCUCCCAUAAGGAUUCGCUUUCUCUGUUCCCUUAGUUCUUCUUCUCAGAGACUCAGAAGUAGCAACAGAAGAGUCAGCGUCCUGCCCCUCCUACUGCCUACCCAGGUUCCAGACUGAGGAGGCAUGAGGUGAGAUGUUCUUACCCCCUAAAUGCCUGAAGAAGUCCAGAAUGGCCAGAGAAGCCCCACUGCUGCUGUUCCUGACGUUACUGGGAAUCUCAGGCUUCCAGGAAACAAAAAAUUUGGACCACAAGUACUUAAGAGAAGGGCAGACGUUGAAUGUCAGCUGCUCAUACCCUCUCGAGGACCAAGAGAAGUCUUGGAAAGUUUGGUGUAAACUACAAGAGAAUAAAAAGGAUUGUAACAGAUUAGUGGUCAUAAAAAAAUUCUGGGUUUUCACCAAAGAAGGUAAAUUCUCCCUUCAAUUCAUUGAUAAGUCUAAGUCUGGCCACAUCAUCAUCAUAAUGUCAGGACUCAGGGAAAAGGACUCAGGACAUUACUGGUGCAUGACCAUCAAGAAAGGCAAUGCCACUAUCCUCAAGAGAAUCCACCUGGUAGUAUCUCCAGCCCAGAACACCAACAAAGAGAUUCAGAUUACUUCAGAGGUCCCUUCCACCACUCCAGCCACCUGCAGUUUCUUAGAAAAGGAGAAAUUCAUCAUUUUGGGUGUGGUCCUGACCUUCCUGCUCCUAUUAGGGGUCCUUAUUACGGGAAUUGUAUACAUCAAGAAACUCCACCAGAAAGCCAAGAAAGGUAAGAGAGAAAAAAUUCUCACCUCCCUCUCACUUUCUGCCUCUCACUGCCCUCAUGCUCCACACCCUCACAUCUUUCUAGCAUUUCAGUCCCAGGGGCUGGGGAAAGAUGACCAGGAUGGGCUCUGUAGAGCCUCUGGGCCAUCCCUGUGCUGAUCCCUUUAUAUUUCUCUCAUUCUACUUUGUUAUGGUUAAAGUUUGGCUAUCCUCUUGGUAGACUGUGAGCUUCCUGGGGCCCAAGGACUGCAUCUCAUUCAUCACUGUAACCCCCUCAGGGCUUGAUAACACAGGCCUUUUACACAUAUGUUCAUAAACAUGGCAGCUAGGUGGCACAAUGGAUAGGGCUCCAGGCCUGGAGUGAGGAAGACUCCUCUUCCUUAAUUCAAAUCAGGGCUCAGACACUUAUUAGCUGUUUGACCUUGGGUAGGUCACCUGUUUGUCUCAGUUUCCUCCUCUGUAAAAUGAGCCGGAGAAAGAAAUGACAAACUACUCCAGUAUCAUUGACCAAAAAAAAAAAACAAAGAACAAAAAAAAAAUGGGGUCAUGAAGAGUUGGACAUGAUUGAAAUGACUGAAUGGCAACAGCAAAAGUUCAUAAGAAUACCUUAAAUGAAUACACAGACCUUUCAAAUCCGAAAGGUUUCUUUUUUAAUUCACUGAGUACGUCACACAUAUUUGCAUAGAUGUAUGAAAUCCUCCUCUCCCCCACUUUCUCCAGGCCACUGCCCACAGCUCAAAUAAAUUCAACUCAUUUAAUUCA
rnacentral:lncRNA from 1 species